AAAGGUAGAAAAGAAAAGGAUUAAAUAUUUAAAUUUUCUGCGUAACAGAUAUCUAUUAAAUUAAUUAGUUAAUAAUGGUUUUUGUCCGUUUACACAGAUUGGCCAACAAUUGAGAGAGGAUUGGAACUGAUAUCUUUGCUUACUGAAAAGAUAAGUUGUCUCCUAUGGCGUUUUAGCUGUUAACCUUUCAUCUUGGAGGCUCUUGUAGUUAAUUAAGGAACAUUAGAAGAACUCCGGAUGUCAUUAAAUUAUGAAAUUAUGGAGCAUUGGUUGUAUUAGUCCUCAUUUGCCCCAUAAAGUAGCUGUGCUCAUUGUUCUACAGAAAGCAUGAAAGUUCCUUUUUUUCAUUGAGAAUGAAGACAGUGUGCUGAAAAAAGGAUUUAUGACAAUGAACUGGAGUUGCGGUUAAUUUUGGUGCUACUAAAACAACCAAUGCUUUUGACGUCUUCACCUUGCAACAUAUGCAGUUAAUUUUUGCCGUAACAAUGGAAGGCAAUUGGAAAUAAAUUAAUUUGGAUGCAACCGGAACAACAAAUUAUCUGCAGUGGUAUCGUUCCUAAAUUUGGUUGGUUUGCUCAUCAUACUGGUAGACUUUCGAACGCCACUUUCUACAAUUAAUUAAGAUUAUACGACAAACGAAAGGUAAUGUUCACUUUGGUUAUACUGAAACAACCAAUUUGUACGUGAGUGUUGUCUUUCAUGGAUUAUAUUCUUCAUUUACUGUUUCGUCUUCGCCUUGUAACACCAUGCAGUUAAUUUUCAACCCAUGAGUGAGAGCAACUGGAUAUUUAUUUGAAUUCCACUGAAAUAACUUCUUUGCUACAGUGUUCCUCCUCGAGUUAGUUUGAUUUUCACUUGUGAACUCUCGAGUGAUACGUUCUACAAUUAAUUAAGGUUAUACAAUAAAUGAGAGAGAAUUAAUGUUCAGUUUGGUUAUACUGAAACAGCCCAUUUCUAUUACGUGUUGUCUUUCCUGGAUGGAUUAAAUUUUUGAUUUGCUGUUUCCCCUUCGCUUCAGUAGACAACUUUAAAGAACGUUUCAGAAAUGGCAGAAGCAGAAUUAAUGUGGAACAGAUCCUUCAUUAGUAUUAUUAUCCCACAAAUGAGAAGUUAAUUUUGGUGCUACUAAAAUAACUGAUGCUUUUGACGUCUUCACCUUGCAACGUUAUGCAGUUAAUUUUUGCCGUAACAAUGGGAGGCAAUGGGAAAUUAAUUAAUUUGGAUGCAACCAGAACAACAAAUUAUCUGCAGUAGUAUUCCUCCUAGAUUUGGUUAAUUUGCUCAUCACACUGGUAGACUUUAGAACGCCACUUUCUACAAUUAAUUAAGGUUAUACAAUAAAUGAGGGAGAAUUAAUGUUCAGUUUGGUUAUACUGAAACAGCCCAUGUCUACAUGGGUGUGGUCUUUCCUGGAUUAUAUUCUUGAUUUGCUGUUUCGUCUUCGACUUGUAACAUCAUGCAGUUAAUUUUCGACCCAUGAGCGAGUGCAACAGGAUAUUUAUUUGAAUUCCACUGAAAUAAGAAAUU